rnacentral:rRNA from 1 species
GAUGAACGCUGGCGGCGUGCCUAAUACAUGCAAGUCGAGCGAACAGACGAGGAGCUUGCUCCUCUGACGUUAGCGGCGGACGGGUGAGUAACACGUGGAUAACCUACCUAUAAGACUGGGAUAACUUCGGGAAACCGGAGCUAAUACCGGAUAAUAUAUUGAACCGCAUGGUUCAAUAGUGAAAGACGGUUUUGCUGUCACUUAUAGAUGGAUCCGCGCCGCAUUAGCUAGUUGGUAAGGUAACGGCUUACCAAGGCAACGAUGCGUAGCCGACCUGAGAGGGAGAUGGGCCAGACGGGAAGUGAGACACGGUCCAGACUACUACGGGAGGCAGCAAUAGGGAAUCGUCCGCAAUGGGCGAAAGCCUGACGGAGCAACGUCGCGUGAGUGAUGAAGGUCUUCGGAUCGUAAAACUCUGUUAUUAGGGAAGAACAAAUGUGUAAGUAACAAUGCACGUCUUGACGGUACCUAAUCAGAAAGCCACGGCUAACUACGUG